rnacentral:rRNA from 1 species
CCUACGGGGGGCUGCAGUGAGGAAUAUUGGUCAAUGGGCGUAAGCCUGAACCAGCCAUCCCGCGUGAAGGAAGAAGGCGCUAUGCGUCGUAAACUUCUUUUCCAGAGGAAUAAAAUUUUGUACGAGUACAGAACUGAAGGUACUUUGGGAAUAAGCAUCGGCUAACUCCGUGCCAGCAGCCGCGGUAAUACGGAGGAUGCGAGCGUUAUCCGGAUUUAUUGGGUUUAAAGGGUGCGUAGGCGGAUUAAUAAGUCAGUGGUGAAAACCUUCAGCUUAACUGGAGAACUGCCAUUGAUACUGUUAGUCUUGAGUACGGUCAAGGUAGGCGGAAUGUGUAAUGUAGCGGUGAAAUGCUUAGAUAUUACACAGAACACCGAUUGCGAAGGCAGCUUACUGGGCCAUUACUGACGCUGAUGCACGAAAGCGUGGGGAGCGAACAGGCUUAGAUACCCCGGUAGUC